UACGAAGGGGGCUAGCGUUGCUCGGAACUACUGGGCGUAAAGCGCACGUAGGCGGUUUCUUAAGUCGGGGGUGAAAUCCUGGAGCUCAACUCCAGAACUGCCUUCGAUACUGGGAAACUUGAGUCCGGGAGAGGUGAGUGGAACUGCGAGUGUAGAGGUGAAAUUCGUAGAUAUUCGCAAGAACACCAGUGGCGAAGGCGGCUCACUGGCCCGGUACUGACGCUGAGGUGCGAAAGCGUGGGGAGCAAACAGG
rnacentral:rRNA from 1 species